CACCUGCGUGCGUGCGUGCGUUGUCUAAUUUCUAGGUUCUAUAAUCCUCCAGUGUUUGAAGUAUUUCAAAUAAAGCUUCCGUUGGUCUUACCUGCCGCAUGCUAUCGAGAGGAAAAUAAGACAACAAUCCACAUUUUAUUGGUCUUUCACAGAGGAAUUCGUCAUGUACCUACUUUGAUCUGAGAUGGAUCUCACCGACUAGAUAGAGGAGCUAGCUAGGCUCACUUAUUUGCACCAUCAGUCAGGCUUCAUAUGUCCGGUUGUCGAGGACGACUAAUCCUCCUGUCAUCGCAUCAAUCAGGUCCCCCUCCCGUGUCGCUCCCACGAGUGACCGGCAGGGCCAAAGCUAUCGCCGCCGGGGGUCUCCCCUUCCUCCAAUCAGCGGCGGGGUCUUCUCGCCCCUUGUUCGGGGUUGCUGGCGUGGGCGGAAGACGCCGGGCCGUGGCGCAGCAGCUAGCGGUGGCAGGGUUGCGCGCGAGGUGUGCGGCCGUGCUGAUCCAUGUUGGCUGCGUCUGCCUGCUGGUGAUGUGCGCCCGUGGUAGCAAGGUCUUGAACUCAAGACCUCUUAGCUCCGGUACCAUGUAGAAGGAUAGAAACGGAUUGGUGGAAUUGUUGUUUGUAUUGCUUGAGGCUCGUGGGCUAAUAUAUGUGGGAGUACAUGACCGUCUUUGAGUGCAAGCCAAGCUAAAACAAAUCCGAGUCUAUCCUAUGUUUCCUAAAUAACCACGAU